rnacentral:rRNA from 1 species
GAGACUCUGUGCGCGUGCAUAUCAAUAAGCGGAGGAAAAGAAACUAACAAGGAUUCCCCUAGUAACGGCGAGUGAAGCGGGAAGAGCUCAAAUUUGAAAUCUUAAAGGGUUUCCCUUUACGAAUUGUAGUUUAAAGAAGUGUUUUCUGUUGGAGUUUCGGUAAAAGUUCUUUGGAAUAGGACAUCAUAGAGGGUGAGAAUCCCGUAUUUGACCGUUACUUUCCAGCUGUGUGAUACACUUCCAAAGAGUCGGAUUGUUUGGGAAUGCAGUCCAAAAUGGGUGGUAAAUUUCAUCUAAAGCUAAAUAUUGGCGAGAGACCGAUAGCGAACAAGUACCGUGAGGGAAAGAUGAAAAGAACUUUGAAAAGAGAGUUAAACAGUACGUGAAAUUGUCAAAAGGGAAGCGUUUGACACCAGUGUUGUUUAGUUGAAAAUCAAUUCAAUAGUUUUUGAUUCUAAGUAGUAUUGACUUCAUCAGCUUGCUGCUUUCUUCUCAGAAAUUAUUGAAUGCACUUUUCAGUUAACAAGUCAACAUCAAUUUCUUUUGUUGUAAAAGGGUAAGAGGAAGGUGGCUUGCGCUUCGGCUCAAGUGUUUAUAGCCUUUUAUCUCUGCAAUCGGAGAGAUUGAGGUCUGCAGCGUAGAUCCUUCGGGGUUAGAUACAUUUGGUGCUAAGCUUAUAGCUUGUCAUAGACAACUUGUUGACUAUGUUUCAGUCUAUGUAGCUUACUCGCUGACUGCUAUUUUACCUACGCUUAGGAUGUUGAUCUGUAGUGCGUGCGC